AUCUGUAAAAUAUAGUACAAAUGUUAGUGUUCUUUUAUUUAUCUAAUUUUUAAUUUACAUAUAAAGCUAAAAGCGACAACGAGAUUGUUAUGAUUACAAAAACAAAUAUCAAAUUUACUCAGAUUUACCCAGAAAAAUGUUUCUUUGGUAACUACACCAUACCAGCUCGACUCUUGCUUAAGAGUAUUUCAAUCAGGUGUUGUUGUGGAUUUUAGCCUACAGUCUUCUUUGAGCAAUCACAGUGACCCCUUUUACAGAAAUAUAAAAAUGGCUACUCGAUAGGAGCUAAAUCGUAACAGUAAUCAACAGACGGUGGCCUGAGAAUGAGAAAAUUUCAGUUCCUCUUUAAUAUUUCCAAUCUUAGCUCCAGUGCCAGCUAGAAAUAAGUUCGGAAAAACGGAAGACAA
rnacentral:lncRNA from 1 species